rnacentral:pre_miRNA from 1 species
AAUAAAUCAAUUUUUCAUUUUUUAUCUUUAAUUUUUGACUCUUUGUCUUAUUUAAAUUUUUUUACGAUUAUAUUUUUGUUUUUAUUAGAUGAUAAAUCAUGAAUAGUAUUUUACGUGUGACUAUUUUUUUCUAAUUUUCUAAAAAAAUUUUAAAUAAGAUGGAUAGUUAAACGUUGGACACGGAAACCAGAGAAUUCGUUUUUU